GAUGAACGCUAGCGGGAGGCCUAACACAUGCAAGCCGAGCGGUAUUGUUUCUUCGGAAAUGAGAGAGCGGCGUACGGGUGCGUAACACGUGUGCAACCUGCCUUUAUCUGGGGGAUAGCCUUUCGAAAGGAAGAUUAAUACUCCAUAAUAUAUUGAACGGCAUCGUUUAAUAUUGAAAGCUCCGGCGGAUAGAGAUGGGCACGCGCAAGAUUAGCUAGUUGGUGAGGUAACGGCUCACCAAGGCGAUGAUCUUUAGGGGGCCUGAGAGGGUGAUCCCCCACACUGGUACUGAGACACGGACCAGACUCCUACGGGGGGGAGCAGUGAGGAAUAUUGGGCAAUGGGUGCAAGCCUGAACCAGCCAUCCCGCGUGAAGGACGACUGCCCUAUGGGUUGUAAACUUCUUUUGUAUAGGGAUAAACCUACCCUCGAGAGGGUAGCUGAAGGUACUAUACGAAUAAGCACCGGCUAACUCCGUG
rnacentral:rRNA from 1 species